rnacentral:rRNA from 1 species
UACGAAGGGUGCAAGCGUUACUCGGAAUUACUGGGCGUAAAGCGUGCGUAGGUGGUUUGUUAAGUCUGUUGUGAAAGCCCCGGGCUCAACCUGGGAAUGGCAAUGGAUACUGGCAAGCUAGAGUGCGGUAGAGGGUAGUGGAAUUCCCGGUGUAGCGGUGAAAUGCGUAGAGAUCGGGAGGAACACCAGUGGCGAAGGCGGCUACCUGGACCAGCACUGACACUGAGGCACGAAAGCGUGGGGAGCAAACAGGG